GAUGAACGCUGGCGGCGUGCCUAAUACAUGCAAGUCGAGCGAACGGACGAGAAGCUUGCGUCUCUGAUGUUAGCGGCGGACGGGUGAGUAACACGUGGAUAACCUACCUAUAAGACUGGGAGAACUUCGGGAAACCGGAGCUAAUACCGGAUAAUAUUUUGAACCGCAUGGUUCAAAAGUGAAAGACGGUCUUGCUGUCACUUAUAGAUGGAUCCGCGCUGCAUUAGCUAGUUGGUAAGGUAACGGCUCACCAAGGCAACGAUGCAUAGCCGACCUGAGAGGGUGAUCGGCCACACUGGAACUGAGACACGGUCCAGACUCCUACGGGGGGCAGCAGUAGGGAAUCUUCCGCAAUGGGCGCAAGCCUGACGGAGCCACGCCGCGUGAGUGAUGAAGGUCUUCGGAUCGUAAAGCUCUGUUAUUAGGGAAGAACAGAUGUGUAAGUAACUGUGCACAUCUUGACGGUACCUAAUCAGAAAGCCCCGGCUAACUACGUG
rnacentral:rRNA from 1 species